AUCUCACAGAAACAUGUCCAGGUCACAUUAACGCAGAAAAGGAGACCCCGGGCUGGACUCCGCUUCGUCCACAGUGAAAGACAAUUCAGCAAUCCACAGUGCAAAGUUGAUGUAUUUCCUCAGCGACCAGCACGGAUCAGCUCCUGGCAUGACAAAGCGGAUAUCGUCCUCUUUUGGAAGGCCAAACAAAGUAGUUUCCCUUUCACAGUGAAACACACAGCGUCUAUACGACAUGGCGGCAAAAACAAUACUACAACAAGAAUAAAAGGAUGGUCCAGCUCGCUGUGCGUCCAGGACUUGGAGAGACACUCGAGCAGAAUUAAACUGGCUGCGGGUUCUUGGAAAUCCACCAGAGAACAACUGGCACCGAACGCUCUCCUCAAGGUGAUGAACAUGCCUGGUGGGACCACCUUGAAAUGCCACACACCAUAACGGUUUGAGUAGAGGCCAAACAGACGACCACAGUAGGAGCUGGAGAUUGCCAACGGGAUGCCAGCGAGAUGCAUUACCCAUCGCCCAACAGGGAUAAAUGAUGAGCAUCAUCACAAUGCAAAUACCUGCCACAGUGAAUCACACCCCAGCGUAGGGGAUCUGUGCGUCCUCCAAGCAUAUUCUCUCUCAAAUGCCAAAUCUAACAGCUCACAGUACUAAUUUACCCCUCUCCAGCUGUUCUGAAUGAGCUAGGAUGCAUGUGGAGGCGAUUGAGACAUCUCUGCAGGGUCGAGGUUUAUAAAACAGCACUCGCAGAUGUGGUGAUCGGCAUACAAGACACAUACGAUGACGCACAUGUAGUAUGUUUGUGCGUGCUGGGAAGCACUGAGCAUAAUGACAAUAUGGCAUUACCCAGUCUUGCGUAAAGCAAUGCAAACAGCCUACAGCAAUAGACUUUGCUAUGGGGGUCCCACUCCCAACGUGGAGGAGAGAGCGUUUCUACCAGACAAACAUCACAUUGAGUCUGUAGCCUCAGGACUGACAAGGAUGUGCUUGUAAAUGGAGACGAACACAGAUGUAGCAGUCGUUUCUUGAGAACUUCACUUUCUUAGCCAAUGAUUGGCUGCCUCGCAUGAUAAUCCAAAUCACUAAGAGUCUGACAUUGCUAAUUAAAUCAGAUCUUUAAAAUAAAAGGCAACAUGGCAAAUGAGAAGACUGUUGUUGAUAUUACAGUAAAAGUGCAAUCGCAUUUACCAUUGCUCAGCCAAUUGUGGGGGUCGAAGUAGAGUUAAUUCAAUAGGAAUCCAUAGGAAAGCAUUUGGGAUCAUGAGUAUAAAUGAGGUGCAUAGCCAAUAAGAAGACAGUUCAUGAGUUAUGUUUCAUACUGUAAAGGUGCGAUCAUAUCUACCUCUAAUUUCCAUGGUCGAAAAAGAGAAAUAUCAAUAGGAAUCUGAGGGUGACUGAGGGAAAAAGAUUUAGAAAGAAAGCUACUUUGUUUGAAAAUGAGAGAGCAUCUCAACAAGACCAACAUCACACUGAGUCUGUAGCUUCAGGACUAAUGAGGAUGUGCUUGUAAAUGGCAACAGACGUUACUUGAGAACCUCGCUGCCUUAGCCAGUGAUUGGCUGCCUCAUACAACAAUCAAGAACAUCAACCAAUAAGAGUCUGACAUCGCUAUUUAAACAGAAAAGAGCAGAGAAAGGUGGAAGUCUGAAGAAAAGACCCAUUCAUAGCAUUUCUCAAUCACAUUUAUGAUUGUUUAGCUAAUUUUCACAAUCGAUUAGAGUAAUUUCAAUAGGAAUCUGCUCAAUUGGGAAUUUCACUUGAAGACAAAAGACUUUUCUAAACAGAUUUCGCAUCAAAAUCAAGUUGGCCACUUGUAUUGACCACGAUGACUAACAGAAAGCAACUUGGUUUGAACUGUUCUUCACACAUCAUACACUACUGAAACACUAAUGGAGCUUUUUUGC
ensembl:lncRNA